GCAAAAGUAUUUUGAUUGCGACUUCAAAAGCAAGCAAGGCCGUUGCCAUCGAUUGCGGAUGAAUUAGCGGAGGAAAGAGCUGGCAGCCGGCGUGCAAUUUGCAAAUCCUGAGAAAAGAUGUCCAUUAUUUCUAAAUAAAGGAGAGGCUGCGAAAUGAAGUGUAAUUUGGCAUGUAUCCAAAUCAGAUAAAUUUUGGAGGCAUUGAUAAUGAGUAAUGAUUUAUUUGUGGGUGGAAUUUAACAUUGUCAUUUGAUGCAUUCUAGUUACUCUAAAAUGUGAAAAAAAAAAAAAACUAAUGGUUAAGUUAGUGUUUGAUCAAUGAGAAAGAGAGAGAAAUUAUAGGGGUGGACACAACCAAAUCUAAAAAAAUCGGUUUGAUUUGAUUUUAUAAUUUUGAUUCGAUAUAAUUUUAUUAAAAGAACCGAAAUAGUUUAAAUUGAGACCGAACCAAACCGUUCGGUUCGGUUUCAAUUUGGUUCAAAAUUUCAUAACAUAAACCGAACCGAUUUCAAAUGGCAUUCUUUUUAAAUUUGUAAUUACACAAACACACACACAAAAUUACACACAACAUCUUCAAACCGUAAUUUUUAGAUUUUAAUUGUUGCUGUCACUUCCUUCUAGCUUUGUUGCCGCUGCCGCCACUUCCUUCUGGCUAUGUUGUGGUCACUACCGCCGUCGCUUCCUUCAAGGCAGUCGACUCUGUUGUGGUCGCUGGUCACCGAGCUCUUUAAUAGCCCGUUUGGGAGUGCAGUGAGGUAGCUGAACUGCUAAAACCCAGCUAUUAAGGUGUUUGGUAACACUUGUAGCUGGACUUUGGCAACUUAAUAAAAAAAUUUCCCAACUUCUACUCUACAACUGUAGUUUUUACUCUACAGCAGCUGCAACUUAAAAGUUACAACACCUCACUCCCAAACACAUUCUAAGCCCCUCACUGCUGAUUUCGUUUUUGUUUUCAUACACACUCAUUUUUUUCCAACAAUUUUUUUUUAGUUUUUCUUCAAUUAUCGAAUAUACAUAUUUGCUGUAAAUUUUUUAUAUUUAGUUUUUCUUCACAGAUAAUUGAGUGUGUGUGGUUGUGUCAUGUGCGUUCAUUAAAAAUGGUGAAAAAAAAAUAUUUGUAUAAUUAUAGAAUUAAUGGUUAAGUUAGUGUCUGAUCAAUGAGAAAGAGAAAGAAAUUAUAGGGGUGGACAAAACCGAAUCUAAAAAAACCGGUUCGAUUUGAUUUUUUAAUUUUGAUUAUAGGUGUGGACACUAACCUGUGAAACCGACCCAACUCGCAUGAUUUUUUGCUAGUUGGUUUGGGUUGAUAAAAUGUAUGGGGUGGGUUGGGUUGUUAAAUCUUCAAUCCACACUAUUUGCAGGUUGGGUUGGCUUGAAAUUUUUGAACUUAACCCAACUCGUCAACCCAUGUAUGUGUAUGUAUAUGUAUAUGUGUGUGUGCGUUAUUAUAUAAAAUUUGAUAUUUAGUGUUUUGUAUUAAACAAGACUUUAAAUUUAUGUACUAAUAAAUUUAAUUAUGUACUAAUAAUUUGAUUGUUGAAUUUUGAAAUGUUGGAUUUGUUGUAAGGAUUUUAAUAUUUGUAUUUUUUUAAUUUUCUAAUUUAUUUAUUUAUUUUUGUUUAAACUAAAAAAAAUGGACUUUUUCAAAAGCCCAAUCCAACCCGCAGUUUCACAGGUUCAAUUGGGUUGGGUUGAAUUUUUUCAACCUGUUCUAUUAGCGGGUUGGAUUGGGUUGAUAUUCAACCCGACCCGCGUCCACUCCUAUUUGAUUCGAUAUAUUUUAAUUAAAAACAGAUAUACUUUAAAAUGAACCGAACCAAAUCAUUCGGUUCGAUUUGGUUCAAAAUUUCAGAACUGAAACUGAACCAAUUUCAAAUGGCCUUCUUUUUAAUCAUUUUGUAAUUUAGUAAUUUACACAUAGGUUUAGAUGGGAUAAGAUUUAAAGAAAAGAAUUGUCCAUUCAUGAGACUUUUAUUAAAUCAUUUUUUUUUCAUUUACACCCACUAUUAAUUAAUUAAUUAAUUAAUUUUUUAAUUAUGAUUUACUUAAAAUUUAUUUUUAUUUAUUAUCUAUGAUCUAAUUAAAUUGGUUACUUUUACUUCUACUAACUCUUGAGAUUAAAUUUUCAUUACUUAUAUAUUUAAUAAUUUAUCAAUAAAAUUAACCAUUUAAUAAUUUAUUGCAUUAUUUGAUUGUACUAAAUUUAAUAAUCACUAAUAUAAUGUUAAAAAUAAUCAUGAAAAUUAAUAAUACCAUUUUAUUAAUUGAUUUUAUAUAAUAUUUUUAAAUAUUUGAUAAAAAUUAAUUAAAUAUUUAAUUUUUUAUGUAUUUUUAUUUGUUUAUUAUAUUAUGACUACGCAAUAACUUAUUUAUAAUAUAUUUAAUUUUCUCAUUAAUUACUUUUUAAAAUUUAUUUUAACUAUGAUUAUAAAUAUAACUUAAUAUGGUUUAAUCCGGUAAUGUACCAAACAUGAGACUAUAUAAUGUAAUCCAACUUAAUUCAAUCAAACUUAAUUAAGUUCAAUUUUAAUAAUUAGUUUAAUUUAAUCAUACGUGCCAAACGUAGCCUGCGAGGAUAAUACUUUUUUUUAUUGAAUGUUGUUAAAAUGACCACAAAUAGAAGUAUGUUGAGUAAGAAAUUAGGUGGUAAAUAACCAAUUUCCUCUUUGGAAACUUUUCUACAUGAGGAUCAAUCGCACAGCCUUUUUGAAAGAUUAUGUUUAAUUAAAGUACAUAAUUUCACACAAUCUCUCUUAUUAUACGUGUCCUUCCUCUGUUUUGUCCUGCCAAAAUCCUCAAAAGUUUUAAUAACAUCUAAUAAACCAUAGGCAAGUGGCAUUUGAUUGUUCUCUGUUCACCAUCAAGAAGCCAAAAUUCACACGCACUUCAAUGUUAUUUACAUUAGGUUCAGUUUGAUUUUUUAAUAAAAUCAAACUGAAUCUAAUCAAUUUGAAGGAACUUGUACCGAACUGAACCCAAAAUUUGGUACAUUUUGUUUCAUUUCUACUUGGUUUGAUUCGAAAAUUUGCUUCUUCUUUUUUUUACUUAUUUAAUUUUAUUUUCUCCUUUAAAUCGAACUGAUAACUGAGCUUAGGAAAUUUCAAAUCGAACCCAUAUGAUUACAUCCAAACGCCCUAUGCUAAUUCACAUGGAACUACAAAAUUACACUACAUGUCUAUGAUCCAAUUAUAAUAUUGCUCAUUGGAUCAUUUAUGUGCACAAAUGAAAUGGUACAUAAUUGUUUUAUUAUCACUAAGGGUGGGCAAAUAAAUCCUGACCCUAAAAAAAUCGAAUCGAACUAGUAAUUUAAUUAGGUUUGUAAAAAAAAAAAAAACUGGUUUAAUUAAUUAAAUAAAAAAUUUUCUUAAAAAUCAAAUAACUGAAAAAAUAAAAAUUUUAAAGUAAAAAAAAAAAACCAAUCGAGUUCAAUUUUAGUUCAUAAUCUUAAAUAAGUUUAUUCGGUUUACCUCAGUUCAAUAAUCAACUAAAUCAAACCAAACCAGAUCGGUUUUAAUAUGUUACAAGCUUUUUAAACCGACUUUUGUUAUGAGCCGAACAUAUUUCACAUGGUUCAAUUUGAUUCGGUUAAAAUUAAUAGCAUAUUUCUCUCUUCCUUGAUUCUCUUAAUUAAUUCAAAGUACCAAAUCAAAUAUCUUUGGAUCCAUCUAAGAAAAAGAAACAAAAAUAAUUUACACCACACACACACACACAUAUAUAUAUAUAUAUAUAGGAUCCCUCUAAGUUACAUGCAUGUACCUUACAUCCCUCUCACAUGAAUAGUAUCCAUACACUAUUCAUGUGAGAGGGAUGUAAGGUACAUGCAUGUAACUUAGCAUUACCCAUAUAUAUAUAUAUGAAAACGACUAUUGUUUCAAGUUAAAUCCAAGUAACUUAAUAAUCAAACACAUGCAUAAAUAAACUAAUUGUUUUUUCUCCAAUUGGCUUCGGCCAAUGUCCAACUAACUUAAUAAUCCAACCAUCUUUGCUGGGCAACCAUCGAAUAUUGCAUAGGGGGUUGCCAUGCUCCACAUUCAAUGCCUUGAAAAAGCUAAAUUAAAGUUCCCCACAUAAAUGUCGUGGUAACAUAUCGGUUUAAACAAAAAAACUCACUUGAGAACCCAAAUCUAAAUUGAAAGGAAAAGUAUUCAAUAGCUCCACAUUAACAACAAAACUUAGCCCUCCUUCUAAUCCAAAAUCAAAAGCUUUGAACAACUGAAAUUGUAAAUCAUAUUAUAAAAUAAAAAACCCAGUUUCAGAAAAUUCUAAUUUAGAAAAUCCAUUUCAUAGGAUUAAAUAAAAUUAGAACUAGAAGAGUAAAAUUAAAACUAGAGAGAGUGAAAAAUAUGGGGAAACUAACCUUAGGCAGCAUGUGAUUGACAGAUAGCAAGCGACAGAUGGAUUCAAGUCGUAAACAACCGAAGCAAAACAAUAAGAUUUGGGUCGGCACCGGAACGUCUGUUUUCUGCCCACCUCUGUAGAUGAUGUGAUGAAUUCAC
rnacentral:lncRNA from 1 species